rnacentral:rRNA from 1 species
GAUGAACGCUAGCGGCAGGCUUAACACAUGCAAGUCGAGGGGUAUAGUUCUUCGGAAUUAGAGACCGGCGCACGGGUGCGUAACGCGUAUGCAAUCUACCUUUCACAGAGGGAUAGCCCCAGAGAAAUUUGGAUUAAUACCUCAUAGUAUAGCAGUUUCGCAUGAAACCACUAUUAAAGUCACAACGGUGAAAGAUGAGCAUGCGUCCCAUUAGCUAGUUGGUAAGGUAACGGCUUACCAAGGCAACGAUGGGUAGGGUCCGUGAGAGGGAGGAUCCCCACACUGGUACUGAGACACGGACCAGACUCCUACGGGAGGCAGCAGUGAGGAA